UUUUUUUUUUUUUUUUUAGAAACUGAUGUUUAUUUUUCAUCAACCAUUUUUCCAUGUUGCUUAAGAGCCCAUGCAAGAACAGCUUAAGACCAUUCAGUGGUUGCUUCUACCCAUUCAGUGGCCUGAGCAGUGGGAGCUGCAGACCAGUCUUCCGUGGCAGGCUGAGCACUCCAGUCUUCAGUAGGGAACUGCUGGAUAGAUGCAGAGGACACCUGCACACCUUCAGACCAGUCUGCAACCUCAGGCUGAGUAGCAGUGAACUCAGGAGCUGGAGCAGUCCAUUCACCCUGAAAUUCCUCCUUGGUCGUCACCUUUUCAGCAGCAGCCUGCUCUUCUUUUUCAAUCUCUUCAGGAUCUCUGUAGAAGUAGAGAUCAGGCAUGACCUCCCACGGGUGUUCAUGGGAAAUGGUGCCACGGAUGCGCAGAACUUCCCGAGCCAGCAUCCACCACAUCAAGCCCACUGAGUUUGUUGUUGCAUGGGAUGGCAAUGUCCACAUAGUGCAGAGGAGAAUCUGUGUUACACAGAGCAAUGGUAGGUAGGUUAACAUAAGAUGCCUCCGUGAGAGGCUGGUGGUCAGCCCUGGGGUCAGUAACCACAAGAAGCCGUGGCUCCCGGUAAGGCUGCCUGGAUCUGGUUAGUGAAGGUUCCAGGAGUGAAGCGGCCAGCAAUUGGAGUGGCUCCAGUGGCAGCAGCAAACUUCAGAACAGCCCUCUGGCCAGUAUUCCUGAAGGGUAUAACACUGACAUCAGCAGGGUUUUCAAUGGCAACAAUGGCACGAGCUGCCAGCAGAAGCUUCUCCCAGGUCCUCUUCAGAUUUAUGAUGUAGAUGCCAUCACUUUUCCUUUUAUAGAUGUACUGUUCCAUGUGGAAGUCAAGAUUGGUGCCACUUAAGUGGGUUCCUGCUGCAAGGAACUUAAGGACAUCCUCCUCCUUUUAAUUUGCAGGACAUCAAGGGCUCCAGACAUUGUGAAAGUUUCCCUUUAAGUUAGGAUGGAAAUUCAGAACAACGCCAUAUGGACCCCUCUGUAGGUAGCGCGGAAAGGGAGCUCACCUCAAAUUUAGUCCUUGCCUAACUGGCAAAACCUGAGAGUGGAUUUGAGAUUAAAAGGGUAAA
rnacentral:lncRNA from 1 species